rnacentral:rRNA from 1 species
CGCGUAGGCGGAUCUGCAAGUCGGGGGUGAAAUCCCGAGGCUCAACCUCGGAACUGCCUUCGAUACUGCGGGUCUCGAGUCCGGGAGAGGUGAGUGGAAUUCCUAGUGUAGAGGUGAAAUUCGUAGAUAUUAGGAAGAACACCAGUGGCGAAGGCGGCUCACUGGCCCGGUACUGACGCUGAGGCGCGAAAGCGUGGGGAGCAAACA